UAUGCGUGGCUCUGUUUCAACAUACCUGAGAUUACUCUGAAGGAACAAUGAAGGCACUGCAAUUGGUAUUGCUUUUCAGCAUUAUGACGAUUGUUAUGGGCUCCAUCUGGGACCACAAGAAGUGCCUUUCAUUUUGCCGACCCAGAAGUGACAACGCUACCAACUGCGGCACUGGUUGCAAGUGCCAUCCUUUCCGCUAUAUGCCG